AGUUAAUACAUUAAUGGAACCUUAAUUAGUUAGUUAAUAGUAAUGGGACCUUACUAUGGAACCAUAAUAUUCAUGGUUGCAAAAAUAAGAGUUUUUUUUUUGCUUGCUUGUUUUGGAGAUGCAACUCUGUGUGUAAUCUGACACUGCGGAUUGCGGCUUUUGUUUGCGCAAAUCAAUUCAAUUCAAGCAGACCAAAAGAAAAGAGUGCGGCGGGGAGGAGAGGGGUUUGUCUUCUGGAGAUCCACCACGGGUCCCUUGUGUGUUGCAACGAACAAGCCCCGCCCACUGCCUUCCUUCCCCCCCCCCAGGGGACAGACCUGAGGUUGGCAGAUGAAGUGUUUGUGUGAGAGGGAGGGGGGGGUCAAAUCAAGAUCCGCCCCCAAGACAGCUCCAGGCCUGAUGAUCCUUCAGCAUGCUAACAUAUGCUCAGCACCUCUCCAUCGUGAAUGUAGUGGACUGCUGCUACCAAGUGCGGGAUGCCAACCUUUGCACCUGCAAAAUGGGCAACAAUCCACCCUCACAGCUUCAGUCUUCGGCCCUGGAACCGGCCCAGAACCCUUGCACCAGGAGUGAGUGCGGUAUCAAGCGCAGACUGCUGGCCUCCAAGGUCCACCAGAGACCAGAAUCACUGUGGACCCCUAAACCAAUGCUAAGAGUACAGGGAAAAGGAUCACAAGGGGACACACUCACACGCUCUCAGUCUUGUUGCAAGAGGAACUCGGUAUCUUGCUUUCCCUCUGUAUCUAAUCUGGAUGAAGAGAAAAAGUGGACUGUGCACUACACGGCUCCAUGGCACCAGCAGGAGAACGUCUUUCUGCCGGGCUCCAGACCAGCCUGCGUGGAAGACCUGCACCACCAGGCCAAAGUGAACCUGAAAACAGCUCUCAGAGAAUGUGAUAAACUAAGAAAAGAUGGCUUCCGCAGCUCACAGUACUACUCACAGGGGCCCACCUUCUCAGGCUCCACAAACUCCCAACAUGAGGACGAGGAUAUCGAAGAUGAUGACGCUGAUAAAAAGUCCACAGCAUCUUCAGGAGAGGAAGAGAAAGACACCUGCCAAAUGAGAGCACAGAGUCCAGUCCAGGUGGAGGGGGUUGAGGUUGGUGGACAAAUGUCACGGUCCAAACCUCCGCCCCUGCCCACUCCAGAAGAGAAGAUGAGGCAGCAGGCUCAGGCUGUUCUCACAGAUAUUGUCCCCAUCAAUGUCACAGGGGAGACGUUUGACAGGCAGGCCAGCAUCCGCCGCUCCCUAAUAAACACUGACACUCUGGUCCGUCGGCCCAAGAAGGUUAAGCGGAGAAAGACUAUUUCAGGGGUACCUGACCACGUCCAACAGGAACUAGCGGCUAAAGGGCGUGGAGGAGAGCUUCGGCCACAGUCCAUGCUUAUCCCUGGACAGUAUUCAACACUUGGGCGAGUCAUAAAUGGGAAUUCAACUCUCCGUCAAUCUAUAACAAAGGAUUCUGGCUGCCAGACUGAGGAUUUGAAAAUCGUCCCACCCUCUGUGAGGAGAAUACGGGCUCAGAAGGGCCAAGGAAUUGCUGCUCAGAUGGCUGGCAUCUCCACCUCUGCCACAAACAUCUCUUCUGUUUCUGAUGGGAGCUCCCCUGGAAAUUCAAUUGUUGUAAUGGCUCCACAGUUUGGCAAUGAUAUCCAACGUUUUCACAGCUUGCCACGAGGUGCACGGGUCUCUCUUAACGCAGAGCCCCUUUACAGUAGCACCCCUUUCCGGCAAGAAUACUCCACUGCAAAAGCAACUCAGCAGAUUAGAAAAUUACAAGUAGAUGAUACUGUGGUGCACAUGAGGAAUGCCCCCAGGGUAUGCACCCAAGCACGGCCCAAAUCUCAGGAGUUGAGAGGUACUCAAAGGGAGUGGGGAUCUGUCUCGGGUCCAGCCUGUGUAGUUUCUCCACAUGCAGCCUACUCAACCUCCCUUAUACCCAAUGCUACUCUAUCAUGCUCUGCUGAGGUUAUUGCACUUCACACCACAUCAAGCCCUGGCCAGAGCCCACUUGCUGGGUCACCAUACACUAAAGCUAGACCUCUUAGCAUGGUCUCAGCUGUCAACAGUGAGAGCACCAGUAGUGUGGGCACAGGAUCACACACACCAGAAGCUGGCAUGAAGGAUACCUGCAGUGAGACUGGCCAGUCUGAUAGCAGUUUGCACAGCCACAGCACCCUUGCCGCAGGAACAUUGUCUUCAGAAGAGCAAUGGAUUUACGACACUCCUGAGAAUGUCUUGCCCAGAAGGACACUAUCUUCCAGCUGCUCAACACCCGUAAAUAAUCUCUAUAGUAGCCUUGAACGCUCCUCAAAAGGCACAGACUCUAGUUCGCUCUACUCAAUGGACAAUGAUGGCUACUACACUUCCAUGCAUCUGGAUUCAGGCCUUAGGUCAAGGAGCCAGGGUAGCGGCCAUUGUCAUGGCAUAGGAGGAAGAGCGGCAAGACACAGUAUGUAUGUGUGCCUGAGUCAGCAAGAAGACCGAAACAGCAUGUACAGUGACCGUUCACUGUCACGUUCCAUUUCUCUACGCAAACCUAAGAAACCACCUCUUCCACCAGCACGCACAGACUCUCUACGACGAAAGCCUAAGAAAGACAGUUCUCCCACUGCCAAUAUUGGACAGUCAGAUAUUAGCAAUGGUCCUCUUCUCAAUGAGUCAUUGAUUGCCACGCUCCAACAGUCACUUCAGAAUGGGCUAAAAGGCAAAGGGUCCUCCACCUCACCGUCUCACAGUCCUUGUAGUGAUUAUGAGGAGCCCUGGAUGCUUCGUUCCAGGAGUCAGAGCAGCAUCAGUGCAGGCAGUAGUGGUGUAUCAGCUACAGGGAUGGCCCAUGUGUACUCCAUUUGUCACGUCACACCUUCUCAUAGUGACACUAGUAGCCUCCGUUCUGAUUAUGCAGACUCCUGGGCCUACUACAUGGAGUACCCUCGUCCAUCUGGAGAUCAGACACAGUCACCAUGCACCAAUACACUUUCUGUUGGACAAGUGGUUGAAAUGGCAAAUGCAAAAGGCUUCCACAAUGGUAACCAGGCUAAUCUUCCUCCUGCUCAGGAAGGAAGUGAUGUGUGUGUGAAGCCCAGAACAGGCACCUCAUCACCCGAUAGGGUACAUCGGUUGACUUCUCCAUCAAGUGGAUACUCGAGUCAAUCCAACACUCCAACAGCUGGCACUCCUGUUCCCUCCUUCAUGAGAUGCAUGUCCCCAUCAGGCAAGCCCAAACCCAGAGUGCCUGAAAGAAAAUCAUCCUUGCUUUCAUCUGUAUCCAUAUCAUCUUCUUCCACUUCUCUUUCCUCCAACACCUCUGAUUCCAACAGGAACAAUGUUCCUCCUCCACCUCCUCUUCCAGCUGGCCCUGUGGCUCUUGCACCUUUUAAUCCUCCAUCCUUUCCUCCUCCCAUUCCACCCUCCAGCCCUGUGUGCACUAUAGACCAGAAAUGUCCUCCUCCGCCACCUCCUUUACCCACAACCCCCCAUCAACAAGCAUCCAUGAGCCCUCCUUACAUCAAUUCCUCCCCUGAAUUUCCACCGCCUCCACCUCCAGAGGUGUUGACUGACCCUGUCUUGUCAAGCCUCAAUAGUUCUUUCACUCCUCCACCACCUCCUCCACCACCACCACUGCCUGCUUGUUCUACCAUCCCUGCUUAUUCUCCACCCCAAAAUCAACACCUACCCAGCUUGACACCACCUACACCUUCCUCUGCUUGCUUAAAGGAAAUUAAAGGUAGCCUAAAACCAGUGAACAGAGAAAGAAAACCAGUGUCCCCUCACUCUGAGGAGCCUAGUAAAAUUGGCAUGCCUCUCAUCACCCCUUUUGCCCUUCAGAGUGUGCAACUUCGGCCAGCAAAACGGCCAGAAAACAAUGGAGUUAGCCAGUUAGCCAGACCCCAAUCCCCAGAGAAGCCUAUAAAACCAGGGCAUCCCACAGUUCCUCAGGGCAUGCUUUGCAUACCUCCAAAUUUAAGGCCAUCAUCUCCACAGAAAAAACUCUCCAUCCAGCACAGUCAGGAUAGCCAUGUUGAAGAAAAACCUGACGGUAUAAUAUCACAUUCUGAACAGACAUCCUGCUUUACAAAUGGUUCCAUAGAUCUUGAUGAGGUUAAGGCCACAGCUGAAGUAGAUGAUCUUGAGACUGUCCUUGCAUCACCCGCGGAAACACCACAAAAUACUACACCCAAGAAGAAGCCUCCUGUGGUCUCCAAAAAGCCCAAGUUUUCUCUCAUCUUUUCCUCAGUGGAUCAUGUCAGUGAUUUGCAAGGUGCUCAGAAUGACGAUAACAUCUCUACAACUACAGCUGAAGAUCUGGACCCCACACCUGUGCCAGAACAGGAAGAAAAGACAACUGAGAAGGAUAGCAUUGACAUUUCUUCACCUCCUGAGGAGAUAAGAGACAUUUCGCCCACAAAUGGUGAAGCUCGGGAGUUCUCCCAGACUCCUGGUACCAUCAUUCCUGAUGCAGACAAGGGCACCUCUAAAGCAGAGGAUGAAGAAAGAGAUGAUGAAGAUGUAACCAGCAGCACAGGAUCUUUUGGCUCUAAAGAUGAUGAAAGUGGUGAGGUGUUUGAGUCCAGCACGUUGGACGUCGCUCAAUCUCCCAGCAUCGACAGCGACAGCUGUAGGGACAUGGUGACCCCCACACGGUCUCGCACCACAGAGGACCUCUUUGCUGCUAUUCACAGCCUGGACCAGUUGAACAUGAACACCCCCCAACAUAUGAGGUCGAAGCGGAAGGUCCUGGGGCGCAAGGAAUCUGAAGAGGACCGUUCACAAAGUCCUUUAUCCCCACCAGUCACCCCUACAGGAAUAGCCCCCGGCUUAACUUCCCCUGUGCCACGGCAAACGGGCUCCAUCCAGCGCAGCCUGCGCAAAUCCGCGACCAGCAGCGACACCUUCAAGGCCCUCCUGCUGAAGAAAGGCAGUCGCUCUGAGACCAGCUUCCGCAUGUCUGCUGCAGAGAUGCUGCGCAGCACCGACCCACGAUUUCAGAGGACUCGCUCUCUCGACUCCUCAUUUGAUCCAGCAUCUCCAACGGGUGAGAGCCCCUGCUCUUCACCGGGCCAUAGCAGGAGGACGCCCGAGGACUGGGUGCACAACGAGGGAAUGUUCUCAACGUCCCUGUCGUUAAUCGGUCCGAAGUAUGGCCGAUCUCGCACGCCGCCCUCCGCCGCCAGCAGCAAGUAUAACGCCCGCAGCCGGAUCCUCAGCAGCCCCAUGACUGUUAUUUGCGAGAGGGAUGGAGAACUCACCGACUCUGAAGAACCAUGCCCUGUUCCUCCAUCAAACAUGCCCCUUCCCAUUUCUCAGGACUCUAACAGCACUUUAUGUGAGCAGAGCAGCAGUUAGAAUACCAAAUGGCUCCUUGGCAAAGGCGGAACGUCUUCUCGGCACCAGAGAUUGACUGAGGGCAGAAGACCAGGAGAGGCUGAACUCUAGAAGGUCUUGCCGCCCGCUAAUCCUGGCAGCGCUGUCUAAUGUUGUAGUGUGGGCUAAGACUUGAGGAUCUAAGGUAGAUCAAGCAGUCAGCUCAAGCAGUAGAUGAGAUACUGCUGUAUCUGUAGUUCUUCAGAAAAAAAAUAACCAAUCUAAUCCAAUUUGACCUUUUCGGAGAAAACGCCGCUUUCAGUGGCAAUACUAGAUGCAACUUUCCAAAGCUUAGCAAUUCAUUCUCUUAUUUUGUUCAGCUUUUUAUUUCCAUUCUUCAGCAGUAACAUAUUUGUGUAGGUUUGUUUUUUGGCGAAGCAGUUAACGAAAGUUGUAAUGAAGGAAUUACUAUGUGACUGCGUGAUUUGGCUGUAGUAGUUCAAGUUGAUGGAUAUUUUGUCAGCGCCAUUGGGGUGAGUCACAUCUCAAACUUCACUGAGGCAGCUCUGUCAGCGCCUUACCGCUUGAGUACGCCGGUCUACAAAGACCAAGAUAAAGAGCACACCGACCGAUUCCUACAAGAGACUAUCUUUCCAUACUGUUCAGACCACAAGAAGUGUCUGGAAUGGAAAAGGAAUUGUGGGCCGAGAGAUUGGAGUAAUGACGGCAUGUUUGUGGAAACAUUUAUGUUUGGUUUAUAGUGUGUAGGUUUGCACUGUGUUCGUCUUCUUUUAUUUGUCAUUUAAAAAGCAUUGUGUCUGUGUUGGUUAUUUUAAAGUUAAUUCUGACAUCUUACUUGAAACAAAUGACUGGUUUACUUGUAAUUGUUUUGGUUACCAAAGAGCCGAACGGGACACUCUAACUUGCUGAAAUGUGAGGGCAUUUUUCAGCCUGACUUCUGUUCUGUUAACAUCUAGCGAAAGUAACCGCUUAAUUACUAAUCCUCCUGUUUACCUGUCGAGCGAUUUCUUUUCUUGUGCAGUUUUAUAAUGUUUUUUAUGUAUAUACCUACAGAAAUGUUAAGUAACGCCUGGACUUAUUUUCAAAGAAUUUGUACAUUUUAGAAACCUAGGAGUGGCUUCCUUUUGUAGAGUAUUUAUUUUAGAAUAGCCAGAAUGUGGUUUGAUAUACUGUAAGCUGGAGGUGGGCUUUUUGGGAUGGAGGUGAAUGAGGUGAAAUUAGACGGGACAGAUGUGUGGCCAAGAGUCUUUAAAUUCAGAUUCACCAGUCACAGAACUUCUAUUUUGUUCCUUCACCCAUCCUACUGAUGUAAACGCAGAUCAGAAAAACAGAAGAAAGAAAAUGAUGGUAAAGAGGAAGCAAGCUGCUAACUCUCCAGAGUAUGUCUCUGUAAUAAAACAUGGUGAUAUUUAAAAAUUGCCCAUCUGUCUUGUCUCAUGUCUUUUAUUCACUGCCACCUGUCAGCCGUCAGCCCAAACCACAAUAUCAUUAGCACCGUCACCAUGACACCCACAGCCGUACAUCAACUCCAGAGGCUUUGCAGGGUCAUCAAGCCCUCUUUCUGUUCUACUGACCAUCAUUUAAAGCUUGAUACAGUGACCUGGACCAAUAUCGUAUACAGAAUGAUCUUUAUGGGUUCUAUCACGACAGAGGUCAUGAAUCCUUGUUUAUGAUUCGGCUACAACAGAGAGAUAGAAGUAAGCCCCUUGUUUCUCCACAUGCACGUCAUCUUUUGUGCUGAGCUUGUGAACAUGAUAUUCAAGCAACCGUUACCUCGAAAAUAAACCUGAUGACGGUGCAGAGAGUGUGUUUGGCCUUGUAGGAUUUCUCUAGCUAGCACCUGAGGUUAUGUCCUUUAUCAGAUGAAGUACAAUUUUUGCUGGCUCUUUUAGUAAUUUUAAAUGACCAAAAAAAAAAGUUAAUUCAUGUCAUGUUUCUGUUUAUACACUGCAUAAAUGUGUUGACUUAAACCUUCAUUAUGCAACUUUACAUAAUAUAUUAAAGAGAGUGCAAAAUUCUUACUUCCGCCAGCAGGGGCUUCUGGGUAUGCAGGGUAUGCACGUGCAUAUGGGCCCGGGCUGAUUGGGGGCAUUUGAGGGGAACCUUUUAAUUAAAACGAGGGAACGAAUUCUUAA